AAGGUAGUCUCUCCUGAUAAUUCUCAACACCUGAUGGACACCUAUUCCAGGAGAACACUCUGCAUCCUGAAGCUCAUUCUGUCCUAAAUGGAUCCCAUAUCUCCUCUCAACGCAGAGACAAAAACAAACAUUCCUUAGGCCUAGGACCAUCACUUCCCUUGUGUCUGUUCAUGGACCACAAUACCUUGCCUGCUUCAAUGGCUGCAAGUGUUUAUCAUCUCUGUCUUGUCUGGGCCCUGCAUACAAGUGACCUGCCCUCAUAUCCAACACUCCAGUUUAGACUCCAGUAACCUCUUACUGGGACCAGGAUGCCAUCUAGGGACAAUGGAGCAAUGAGCUGGGAGGAACCUGGAUCCUGAACAUUGUGUGGAGUACAGCUGUCAUAAGGCUGAGGUUGCAUUGUGUGUGUGUGUGUGUGUGUGUGAGUGAGUGUGUGUGUGUGUGUGUUGUUUACUUUAACCUGAGCUUAUGAGAGCUCUGGGUAAUGUAAAUAGAAUAGCUCCUUUAGGAAGUGUCUUAGUCAUUUUGGGCUGCUAUAACAAAAAUGCUGUAUACUGGUGGCUUAAAUAACUAUUUAUCAUAAUUUUGGAGGCUGGGAAGUCCAAGAUCCAGACACUGGCAGAUCUGGCAUCAGGUGGGGGCCUGCUUCCUGGCUUAUAGACAGUUGCCUUCUUGCUGUAUCUUCACAUAGCUGAUGGAGAGAUCAUUUUGCUCUUAUGUCUUCUUAUAAGGGCACUCAUCCCAUUUGUGAAGGCUCCACCCUCAUGACCUGAUUACCUCCCCAAAGCACUACCUGCUAGUACCAUCACAUUGGGGAUUAGGCUUCAACCUAUACAU
rnacentral:lncRNA from 10 species